rnacentral:lncRNA from 1 species
UGAGUGUUAGUUUUAAGUAGACUAUUGACAAAUUACAGAUUUUUUUCACGUAUUGAAAUUAUAUUCCAGAUGAUUUUGAGAUUUACUGGUAUAAUAUUCGCCUCAUGAGGUAGGAUGGAAGGGAAGAAAUAGAGAAAAAAUGUUCUGCUCUGAAAUAAAUGUGGUGUUUCCUGACAGCAUUUGUCAAGAGAUGGGGUUUCACCAUGUAGCCCCGGCUGGUCUUGAGCUCAUGAGCUCAAGCGAUUCACCUGCCUCAGCCUCCCAAAGUGCUGGGAUUACAAGUGUGAGCCACCAUUCCUGCCUCUAUACCUCUAAAGGUGUUGAAUAAUUUGAAUGGGAAUUUGAAGGUCCAUGGCUUCCAAACCAGCAGGAGUUAAGGCUUAAUUGCUUGGAAAUACAUUUUCAUGGCUGAUACCAGUAACAGAAAAAUGUCUGUAUGUCAAGAGGCUCUGUACUAAUCAGUUAACCAUAACAUGUGCCACCCCAUACCUUGGGCCAAUGUAACUGUUAACAGCUUGAAGCUAUUAAAAAUGUACCAAUGGA